GACGAACGCUGGCGGCGCGCCUAACACAUGCAAGUCGAACGGAGUUUCUAAGACCAAUCUCUUCGGAGUGCGGUUUUUGAAACUUAGUGGCGGACGGGUGAGUAACACGUGAGCAACCUGCCCUUAAGAGAGGAAUAACGUUUGGAAACGAACGCUAAUGCCUCAUAACAUAACCGGAUGGCAUCGUCUGGUUAUCAAAGGAGCAAUCCGCUUAAGGAUGGGCUCGCGUCCGAUUAGAUAGUUGGUGAGGUAACGGCUCACCAAGUCGACGAUCGGUAGCCGGACUGAGAGGUUGAACGGCCACAUUGGGACUGAGACACGGCCCAGACUCCUACGGGAGGCAGCAGUGGGGAAUAUUGGGCAAUGGGCGCAAGCCUGACCCAGCGACGCCGCGUGAGGGAAGAAGGUUUUCGGAUUGUAAACCUCUGUCUUUGGUGACGAUAAUGACGGUAACCAAAGAGGAAGCUACGGCUAACUACGUGCCAGCAGCCGCGGUAAUACGUAGGUGGCAAGCGUUGUCCGGAAUUACUGGGUGUAAAGGGAGCGUAGGCGGGAAGACAAGUUGAAUGUUUAAACUAUCGGCUUAACCGGUAGUCGCGUUCAAAACUGUUUUUCUUGAGUGAAGUAGAGGCAGGCGGAAUUCCUAGUGUAGCGGUGAAAUGCGUAGAUAUUAGGAGGAACACCAGUGGCGAAGGCG
rnacentral:rRNA from 1 species